rnacentral:rRNA from 1 species
UGCCAGCCGCCGCGGUAAUACAGAGGGUGCGAGCGUUGUUCGGAAUCACUGGGCGUAAAGCGCGUGUAGGCGGCACGGUUAGUCGGAUGUGAAAGCCCAGGGCUCAACCCUGGAACUGCAUCCGAUACUGCCGAGCUCGAGUCCCGGAGGGGGUGGUGGAAUUCCAGGUGUAGAGGUGAAAUUCGUAGAUAUCUGGAGGAACACCCGUGGCGAAGGCGACCACCUGGACGGGUACUGACGCUGAGACGCGAAAGCGUGGGGAGCAAACAGGAUUAGAUA